AGAGUUUGAUCAUGGCUCAGAUUGAACGCUGGCGGCAGGCCUAACACAUGCAAGUCGAGCGGUAGCACAGAGAGCUUGCUCUCGGGUGACGAGCGGCGGACGGGUGAGUAAUGUCUGGGAAACUGCCUGAUGGAGGGGGAUAACUACUGGAAACGGUAGCUAAUACCGCAUAACGUCGCAAGACCAAAGUGGGGGACCUUCGGGCCUCAUGCCAUCAGAUGUGCCCAGAUGGGAUUAGCUAGUAGGUGGGGUAACGGCUCACCUAGGCGACGAUCCCUAGCUGGUCUGAGAGGAUGACCAGCCACACUGGAACUGAGACACGGUCCAGACUCCUACGGGAGGCAGCAGUGGGGAAUAUUGCACAAUGGGCGCAAGCCUGAUGCAGCCAUGCCGCGUGUGUGAAGAAGGCCUUCGGGUUGUAAAGCACUUUCAGCGGGGAGGAAGGCGGUGAGGUUAAUAACCUCAUCGAUUGACGUUACCCGCAGAAGAAGCACCGGCUAACUCCGUGCCAGCAGCCGCGGUAAUACGGAGGGUGCAAGCGUUAAUCGGAAUUACUGGGCGUAAAGCGCACGCAGGCGGUCUGUCAAGUCGGAUGUGAAAUCCCCGGGCUUAACCUGGGAACUGCAUUCGAAACUGGCAGGCUAGAGUCUUGUAGAGGGGGGUAGAAUUCCAGGUGUAGCGGUGAAAUGCGUAGAGAUCUGGAGGAAUACCGGUGGCGAAGGCGGCCCCCUGGACAAAGACUGACGCUCAGGUGCGAAAGCGUGGGGAGCAAACAGGAUUAGAUACCCUGGUAGUCCACGCCGUAAACGAUGUCGAUUUGGAGGUUGUGCCCUUGAGGCGUGGCUUCCGGAGCUAACGCGUUAAAUCGACCGCCUGGGGAGUACGGCCGCAAGGUUAAAACUCAAAUGAAUUGACGGGGGCCCGCACAAGCGGUGGAGCAUGUGGUUUAAUUCGAUGCAACGCGAAGAACCUUACCUGGUCUUGACAUCCACAGAACUUUGCAGAGAUGGUUUGGUGCCUUCGGGAACUGUGAGACAGGUGCUGCAUGGCUGUCGUCAGCUCGUGUUGUGAAAUGUUGGGUUAAGUCCCGCAACGAGCGCAACCCUUAUCCUUUGUUGCCAGCGGUCCGGCCGGGAACUCAAAGGAGACUGCCAGUGAUAAACUGGAGGAAGGUGGGGAUGACGUCAAGUCAUCAUGGCCCUUACGACCAGGGCUACACACGUGCUACAAUGGCAUAUACAAAGAGAAGCGACCUCGCGAGAGCAAGCGGACCUCAUAAAGUAUGUCGUAGUCCGGAUUGGAGUCUGCAACUCGACUCCAUGAAGUCGGAAUCGCUAGUAAUCGUAGAUCAGAAUGCUACGGUGAAUACGUUCCCGGGCCUUGUACACACCGCCCGUCACACCAUGGGAGUGGGUUGCAAAAGAAGUAGGUAGCUUAACCUUCGGGAGGGCGCUUACCACUUUGUGAUUCAUGACUGGGGUGAAGUCGUAACAAGGUAACCGUAGGGGAACCUGCGGUUGGAUCACCU
rnacentral:rRNA from 1 species